AUGGGUAGUUAGGAUCUACCUGUUCACAACUCCCUUGUAUUGUGCGGACGUAUGUUUGCGUGAUCGAUCUACCGCCACAGAGACAAAGACGUAAUCAAUACACAAGCAGAGAAGCAACCGACCAUGUCGUCCAGAAAACCGCCACCCAGCACCCAAAACCGUGCCGUUUACAUCACCACGGAGACAUGGUCUACAUGUUGGGCAACCAGAGAAAUGUGAACCUGAGGAUACCUUCCUACAGUCCUCGAGAGGUCAGCAGGUCCUUUUGCACGACAAGGAUGAGGGUAUAUAUAUGAGAGGAUCUGUCCAGGGCUACAGAAUGUCUCCUGUUGAAACAGUCGAGGGCCAAUUGUCGGCUGGCCGUCUUCUAGAAGUUGCGGAGCAAGACCACUUGCCAGUAAAUGGGGCUAUUCCGUACCCAC